GAAUGGGGCAKAAMCGGUCAGACUCUACGGGAGGCAGCAGUAGGGAAUCUUCCGCAAUGGACGAAAGUCUGACSGAGCAACGCCGCGUGAGUGAUGAAGGUUUUCGGAUCGUAAAGCUCUGUUGUUAGGGAAGAACAAGUGCCGUUCAAAUAGGGCGGCACCUUGACGGUACCUAACCAGAAAGCCACGGCUAACUACGUGCCAGCAGCCGCGGUAAUACGUAGGUGGCAAGCGUUGUCCGGAAUUAUUGGGCGUAAAGGGCUCGCAGGCGGUUUCUUAAGUCUGAUGUGAAAGCCCCCGGCUCAACCGGGGAGGGUCAUUGGAAACUGGGGAACUUGAGUGCAGAAGAGGAGAGUGGAAUUCCACGUGUAGCGGUGAAAUGCGUAGAGAUGUGGAGGAACACCAGUGGCGAAGGCGACUCUCUGGUCUGUAACUGACGCUGAGGAGCGAAAGCGUGGGGAGCGAACAGGAUUAGAUACCCUGGUAGUCCACGCCGUAAACGAUGAGUGCUAAGUGUUAGGGGGUUUCCGCCCCUUAGUGCUGCAGCUAACGCAUUAAGCACUCCGCCUGGGGAGUACGGUCGCAAGACUGAAACUCAAAGGAAUUGACGGGGGCCCGCACAAGCGGUGGAGCAUGUGGUUUAAUUCGAAGCAACGCGAAGAACCUUACCAGGUCUUGACAUCCUCUGACAAUCCUAGAGAUAGGACGUCCCCUUCGGGGGCAGAGUGACAGGUGGUGCAUGGUUGUCGUCAGCUCGUGUCGWGAGAUGUUGGGUUAAGUCCCGCAACGAGCGCAACCCUUGAUCUUAGUUGCCAGCAUUCAGUUGGGCACUCUARGGUGACUGCCGGUGACAAACCGGAGGARGGUGGGGGAUGACGUCAAAUCAUCAUGCCCCUUAUGACCUGGGCUACACACGUGCUACAAUGGGACAGAACAAAAGGGCAGCGAAACCGCGAGGUUUAAGCCAAUCCCCACAAUCUGUUCUCAGUUCGGGAUCGCAGUCUGCAACUCGACUGCGUGAGGCUWGSAGUCGGCUARGUUAGKUCAGYMGAGGAAUCSAGRAYACAGGAAUGU
rnacentral:rRNA from 1 species